rnacentral:rRNA from 1 species
CAAGUAGAUCGGCGGCAGGGGAGCACUCCUCGUGGGGAGUGGCGAACGGGUGAGUAAUGUAUCGGAACGUGCCCAGUCGUGGGGGAUAAGGCAGUGAAAGCUGUGCUAAUACCGCAUAAGGAUCUAUGGAUGAAAGCGGGGGAUCGCAAGACCUCGCGCGAUUGGAGCGGCCGAUAUCAGAUUAGGUAGUUGGUGAGGUAAAGGCUCACCAAGCCGAUGAUCUGUAGCUGGUCUGAGAGGACGACCAGCCACACUGGAACUGAGACACGGUCCAGACUCCUACGGGAGGCAGCAGUGGGGAAUUUUGGACAAUGGGCGCAAGUCUGAUCCAGCAAUUCCGCGUGCAGGAUGAAGGCCUUCGGGUUGUAAACUGCUUUUGUACGGAACGAAAAGGUUCUCUUUAAUACAGGGGGUCCAUGACGGUACCGUAAGAAUAAGCACCGGCUAACUACGUGCCAGCAGCCGCGGUAAUACGUAGGGUGCAAGCGUUAAUCGGAAUUACUGGGCGUAAAGCGUGCGCAGGCGGUUAUGUAAGUCAGAUGUGAAAUCCCCGGGCUCAACCUGGGACCUGCAUUUGAGACUGCAUAGCUGGAGUGCGGCAGAGGGGGAUGGAAUUCCGCGUGUAGCAGUGAAAUGCGUAGAUAUGCGGAGGAACACCGAUGGCGAAGGCAAUCCCCUGGGCCUGCACUGACGCUCAUGCACGAAAGCGUGGGGAGCAAACAGGAUUAGAUACCCUGGUAGUCCACGCCCUAAACGAUGUCAACUGGUUGUGGGUCUUCACUGACUCAGUAACGAAGCUAACGCGUGAAGU